GGAAGCUUGGGUGAGUGGUUUAAACCAGCAGUCUUGAAAACUGCCGAACAGCAAUGUUCCGUGAGUUCGAAUCUCACAGCUUCCG
rnacentral:tRNA from 4 species